UACAGAGGUCCCAAGCGUUGUUCGGAUUCACUGGGCGUAAAGGGUGCGUAGGCGGUCGGGUAAGUCUGAUGUGAAAUCUCGGAGCUCAACUCCGAAACUGCAUUGGAUACUAUUCGGCUUGAGGUCUGGAGGGGGGACUGGAAUUCCUGGUGUAGCGGUGAAAUGCGCAGAUAUCAGGAGGAACACCGGUGGCGAAGGCGGGUCUCUGGGCCGAUACUGACGCUGAGGAGCGAAAGCGUGGGGAGCGAACAGG
rnacentral:rRNA from 1 species